ACCAAAAAACCCUAACCAUUUUCUUUCUCUCUCUCCGUGGUCCUCUGUUCUCUCUAAACCCCAAAAACUCAAAAAACACCAAAUCCCAAUUCUCUCGCUCUCACGAGUCCUGCCGGAUACCUCACUGACGAAUGACUGCCGGACUGAUUGUCGUCGUCGUCGCGCUGCUGCUGUUGUUCUAGCGGUGCUGCCGCAGUUGUUGUUGUUGGUUGUCGGUGACGUUGUUGUUGCCGUUGUUCUGUUUUUUUUUUUCUUUCUCUCUCGCCAACUCCUUUGUUCUCGCUGGUUCUUGUUGCUGGUGCUCUUCACUACCAUUAUAUCUCUUGCCUUGGUGGUGUUGUCAUUGUUGUUGUUGGUUUCCGCUGCUGCUCGUCGGUGCUCUGCCGCGCCGAAGCCUCGAAUUCCUUCAUCCCUUUGUCUUCGCUGCUCCUAGUAGAGCAGAGGUGAUUAUUGGAGAUUGAUUUUGAAUAAAGAGAUAUCGGACUCUUGAAGAUUGUUAUGGAGUCGAGUGCUAUUCAAAGAUGUGUAGAGAGUUCAUUGUUAGUGAUCUUGCAGGUUCGUGUGCGGAAAGCUCGGAAUGGAGUAAAAGGAAGAAUCUAGGUAUCAAGGUUAUAAUUAGAUGUAAUGGUUCAGAGGCUGUAUUUAGGAUUAUAUAUCUUUGCGAAGAAAUUAUUAUAUUGCUUUAGAAGUCGAGCAAGGUAUUAUGUAAUAUGUUAUUUGGUUAUUGAGGAUGAUUUGUUGUGGGCCCUGACCCACAGGUCCAGGAUCGUGUAAAUAGGUUGUGUUUGCG